rnacentral:lncRNA from 1 species
AAUACUAGGUCUGUUCCUUUGUUUUUUAGUGUUACACUUUUGAGUGUAAGUGUACGAAAUUCUAUGGACAUUUGAGUGUAAAAUGACAGCGGAUGUGACAGCGGCUCAUGACAGCGGACAGUAUUAAACGAAAAUUAUCGGUGUGCCAAUCAAGCAAAGGGACAAGGAACUUCCGAAUAUGGCCUAACUGGGGGCACAUAACAUAACAUAACCUAAUCCUAAUAUUUACAUUUGUAAAGAAUAUCCUGUUUGUUUUUAUUGUCGAUUGUGCAGCGAAAUUGUGUGCAGCAAAUCAAAUAUAAAGUAGUUUAUCGCCUACAGAACUGAAUUAGUCCAUAGCAGUUAUCAGUUUUUCUUUCUUGGGAAGCUUAUACAUGUAACUUGUAUCGUUGUAAAUUGUGGGAGUAGGGCAGACAGGGAAAAGUCUUAUUUUGUACUGUUCCCAAGGCUCCCCAUGCAAUACAUUUAAAUGAAUUAUCCAAACAAAGCCGGGGACAAUGGAUAAAAGCCACAAGAAGAACAGAUAUAAGGGAACUAAAAUUAAAAUAUGAAAAGUAAACAUUUUAUAAGUGGAACAACCACCAGAUAUUUAAAAGGUAUAAAAAGAAGAAACUGCUGGAAUUUCAAAACAAAUGUGUUUGACUAGUAAAGAUUUGGAUAAAUAACAGGAGUUACUUUGGGCUAUAGCUACGUGCAGAUUUAUUUCCUUGUGGCUUCCUAUGUUAAUUCUUAUUAAUUAUACACUUAAAUAUGUUUUUAGUCUCAGGAAGAUUUUAUAUUUGAUUAUUUUUGAAUAAACAUUAUUAUUAUUAUUACCUUAAUUUCCAUUAAAUAAAUUAACUGUAAUCAAUAAAGUAAUCGUUUAAUUGUUAAUAAAUUAUCAAGUAUGA